rnacentral:rRNA from 1 species
UACGUAGGGUGCGAGCGUUAAUCGGAAUUACUGGGCGUAAAGCGUGCGCAGGCGGUUUUGUAAGACAGGCGUGAAAUCCCCGGGCUCAACCUGGGAAUGGCGCUUGUGACUGCAAAGCUGGAGUGCGGCAGAGGGGGAUGGAAUUCCGCGUGUAGCAGUGAAAUGCGUAGAUAUGCGGAGGAACACCGAUGGCGAAGGCAAUCCCCUGGGCCUGCACUGACGCUCAUGCACGAAAGCGUGGGGAGCAAACAGGAUUAGAAACCGAGUAGUCC